CAGCCGCCGCGGUAAUACGAGGGGGGCAAGCGUUGUUCGGAAUUAUUGGGCGUAAAGGGUGCGUAGGCGGUUUGGCAAGUCUUAUGUGAAAUCUUCGGGCUCAACCCGAAGUCUGCAUGAGAAACUGCCGGGCUUGAGUAUGGGAGAGGUGAGUGGAAUUUCCGGUGUAGCGGUGAAAUGCGUAGAUAUCGGAAGGAACACCUGUGGCGAAAGCGGCUCACUGGACCAUAACUGACGCUGAGGCACGAAAGCUAGGGGAGCAAACAGGAUUAGAUACCCCCGUAGUCCCUGUCUCUUAUAA
rnacentral:rRNA from 1 species